GAUUUAGACCAUUAUUUACCGCUAUGAUUGAUGAUUAUGAUUCAUUUUUAUGAUUUUGUAUUAAUUGUUUGCAAUAUGUACUAAUUGUUGUUAAUAGUCGGAGGUACAUGUUCUAAUCUUUUUCGCUUCCAUUGUAUUCUUGAUAGAAUUUCGUUUUAGAUUUUAUAUCUACCAUUUGGUAUCAGAGCACAAAUUUUAUACCUCUGUCUUGUUUGAUGGUCAUGUUUCAAAAAAUUUGAGUUUUAGAUAUUUUAUUUUAGACCCCUUAAAUUCAAAAUAAAAUGAAAAUAUUUGUACAUGUUUCUAGGUAAUUAAAUGUUUGUAUUUUGCAUAUAUACAAUAUGAUUAUCUUGUGUUUUAAUCGUACAAUUAUGUAUAAUUGAAUUAAUUGUUGACUGUUUUAUGCAUUUUAAUCAUUUUGAAUUAAAAUGUCAAGAUGAUCUAUAUGAUGUUAAUUAAUCAAGGAAUAGCCGCAACAUCUUUAAUUAUGAAAAUUAUAUGUUAAAUGUUAAGAUCAUGAUAUUAAUGGUAAUUGAUUAUUUUGAACAUAGUAAAGCUUAUCCUACAAGAAUUCUUAUUAUGUUUAUAUAAUUAAUUAGGAUAAAAUAUCAAUUUAUAUUUUCUAAUUUAUCCACAAGAAUUAGGAAAAGUAACAUAUUUUGAUAGUUUUAUUAAUAAGUUAUAUAUGAAUCUAAUUGAAUACGAUUUAGCAUAGAGGUAGGUUUUAUGUCACUAGGUUUAUAGUUUGAAAUAUGAUUUACAUUGGUAAAACAUGACAUUUGCUAGUAGUCUCAAUUUUUGUUUAAUUAUAAGCAUGUAUAUUUAAUUUUUGCAGCUAUACAACCCAUGAAUUUUAAUUUUUUCUCUAAUUUUAAGUGUGAAAUUUCCGAAUUGAGGGCUGAAAAACUAUAAGGUUGAAAUGAGAGAAUUCUUCUUCAAUUAGGAUGGAUGAAUAUUGAUUAUGUUAUUCGAAAAGACGAACCAUCUCAUUUGACUAAUAUUAAUCUUCUGGAUGAUGUUGAUUUUUAUGAAAUGUGGGUUUGAUCUAAUCGUCUUAGUGUGAUAUUCAUAAAGAUCAAUUUGAUUAGCAAUUUGAAACAUCUAAUAAGGCACUUGCUAGCACUCUAAGUAUGAAGUUUUCAACCACGAAACGUAUCACUCUAAAAGGUGUGGGUGAGCACAUCAUGCGAAUAAGGAACAUUGCAUCACAACUAAAAACUCUUGAGACAUAAGGACAAAUGUCAAUCAAUGAGCUUAUGACCAUGUCUGUUCAAGAAGAAGAAAAGUUGGUGAUCGAAGCGAGUGAAGAUGUUCUAUUGACUUUUGUGGGAAAUAAUGUGAUACAAGCCAAGAAAAAUGGAAAGGCAAAAAUGUAGCCUUAAAGUGGAAUUAAGAAAGAGCCCAAGUAUUUAUUUUGUAAAAGAUAGGACACGGAAAAGAAGAAUUGCCCCAAAUUUAAGAAAUUGGUUGAGAAGAAAGGUAAACCAAUCUCGUUUUGUUUUUUACGAAUCUGAUAUUAUUGAUGUUAUUUAUAAGUCAUGAUGGAUUGAUUAUGGUUCUACGAUCUAUGUUUCGAACACCUUGUAUGGUAUGACAAGUCUAAGAAAAUCACUUUCAAGUGAGCAAGGCAUCUAUUUAAA